UACGAAGGGGGCUAGCGUUGUUCGGAUUUACUGGGCGUAAAGCGCACGUAGGCGGAUCGUUAAGUCGGGGGUGAAAUCCUGGAGCUCAACUCCAGAACUGCCUUUGAUACUGGCGAUCUUGAGUCCGGGAGAGGUGAGUGGAACUGCGAGUGUAGAGGUGAAAUUCGUAGAUAUUCGCAAGAACACCAGUGGCGAAGGCGGCUCACUGGCCCGGUACUGACGCUGAGGUGCGAAAGCGUGGGGAGCAAACAGG
rnacentral:rRNA from 1 species